rnacentral:lncRNA from 10 species
UUAUGAAAACGCAGAAGUUGGACAAAGACACACCCACAGGGAAAGCACCAUGAGAAGAUGACGGCAGAGAUCUGGGCGACGCGUCUACAAGCCAAGCGACACCAAAGGUGGCCAGCAGCCCAUGUGAAGCUGGAGGAGAGGCCUCGAAUAAAUGCUCCCUUACAGCGUUCAGGGGGAACUGACCCUGUCCACACCUUGACCUUGAACUUCUGGGCUCCAGAACUGUGAGACAGCAUGUUCUGUUGUUGAAGGAGCAGCGUGGCUAGAGGAAUUCCUGCAGCUUAGAUUUCGCUGGCACUGUUACCACUCCCAGAGAGGAGCGGCUGGAGUUCACGGCUGGUUCCUGACAAACUUCCUAAUUAAUCUGCUAAAGAUCAGAGGAGGACUAAUAGGAGCUGAAGACUGUGUGCGAGACCACCCCUCCGCCCUCUCCCUUUGUGUGUGCACGUGUGUGUGUGUGUGUGUGUGAGCGCGUGCGCGCAUGUGGUGCUGAGCUUGGCGGGAGAGAGAUGGCCUCACCAGCGACAAAGCAUUCCUGCUGCUGUUGCUGCCACCUACCUUCCCUGCUUUGGGAGGAUACAUUUUCUCCUCUUGCUUAGAAGUUUCAGGGAGUCACCCAAGCCUUCUUCUCCCAGAUACAACGGUGGAAUAAAAUAUCUUCCAGCCAACAUAUUUUUUGGAGACGGAAUCUCACUCUGUCACCUGGUUGAAGUGCAGCAGCGCGAUCAUGGCUCACUGCAACCUCUGCCUCCCGGUUUCAAGUGAUUCUCCUGCCUCCGCCUCCCGAGUAGCUGGGAUUACAGGCAUGUGCCACCCACCACGCCUGGGUAAUUUUUGUAUUUUUACUAGAGACAGGGUUUCACUAUGUGGGCUGGGCUGGUCUCAAACUCCUGACCUCUGGUGAUCUGCCCACUUCGGCCUCUCAAAGUGCUGGGAUUACAGGCAUGAGCCCCCGCACCCGGUUGCAACCAACUUUUUUGUGGAAUAUAGGAUCUUGAUGUUUGGAUGCCUGAAGGCAGAAGCUGUUGCACAUGGAAUGGAUUAAAGUUUUCCCCUCUGCAACCAAAAAUCCUUGGGGUCCCAGGAGCAAAAGAUGCUCCAUGGCACAGGACAAUUCAAGAAGGCCCGAGGUGAUAUUGAAGACUGCAGAGACAUCCAGCUCAGUUGUGUCUCCGGAGGUGUCCAGACUUUGCAGACAGACGUUGCACAUAAAGAGCUGAAAAACUGAGGAAGCUGAGCUGGAGAAGGAAGUCACUUCUACUCAGACUUGACCUGCGUCUGAUGCUAUGGGGCCUCUUAGGGUUACCUCAUGCUUCAUGCACCCCUUUCUCUGUUCUUCAGCAGAAGGCAGGGUGUAGGGAAGCGGGACUGUGCCUCCUUUCUCCCUGCCAGGCCUGACUCUCCAGGCCAAGAGACACCAUUAAGGAGUAUAAUUUGUUGAUCCAGGCUCUCCUUGCGUUUCAGUGCAGAGUGGCAUCGUUUUCUUUAUGACCUCGUAAAGUCACAGCCGAGAGGCCGAUUUGGAAAACAAACUGCCUCAGGUUGACAGAUAAUUAGAUACAGGGGACAUAUUAUAUGCCUUUGCAUAUAAAUGUGCUCCGAGGCGUGUUGGUUCAUCUGAAGUUGAGGUUAAAGGCGCGCCAGGUAUUCCUGACACAUCAGGAUAUAUAUUUUCAUACAGUCUCAGGUGCUGUGUUGGUUUUAUAGGCCUUUCAUCCUGGUGCUGACGGAUGGGGUGUGAUUGUGACCCAACUUAGAAGAAAGGGACUUCCCUUGCCCAGGGGCCUCCUGGCGUUUUUGUUUUGUGUUCUCCCUCUCCACCCCCACUUUCUCUUCUUCCUUGGGAAGGGAACUGUUCUUUGGACCUAGGAUUCUGCCGUGAGUGACUAAUGGCCUGAGUAGGAGGGACCGGGACUCAUUUUUCUUUUCUGGACUCUAAUAGGCCCAAUUAAUUCAGCUACAACAUGGGCCCUUACAAGCCUGGGACAAGCCUGGGUGGAAUUCUAUAUUGAGGAGUUAAUCCUAAUAAAAAAUGAUUACAGAAGAGGACGCCUCCACCCACAGGAAGGAGCCAGCACGGUGGGGAGCUGUUUCACCAGGGGAGUGUUCUCAGCAGCUGCCACACGUGGAGUUGUGGAGGUAGCAAGCAGAGUUGGGGGAGGAGGGGGAGCCCUGGUUCCUGCUCUUCCAUGAUCAGUGUGCAGCCUUGAGCAUGGCACUCCCUCUCUUCCCAGCUUAGUGUCCUCAUCCGUAAAAUGAGGGGCUCUCUGAGAGUCUGCCAGGGCCGCUGUCUGAUCUGUGACAGCGUGGCAUGUGGUGUGGUAUGUAAUGCACGUUCCUGCCUGCAGGGAGGCCCUCUCCCUUCCCCCACCAGGCUUCUGGGCAGCACUUGCUGUCAUCCUUGCUUCUGGAACAGGACUGUGCUGUUUUCCAGGCCAAAUUGGAGGGCUGAGGGGGUCUAUUAAGAAGACUCUGGGGAGAUGGUGGAACAAUUCUGUGCUUGAAAUUACCUUCCUCUUUAAAUCUUGCCAUGGCCCUAUUAGAAAAGCUAAGGGGGCAGGAGGAGAGGAGCGGGCAGGGAGAGGAGAGAGAGAGAGAAGAAGGAAGAAGGAAAGGGAAAGGUAAGAAACCCCAUAGCCCGACCCUCAGCCCUGUUGAAGGAGAUUAUAUAAAUAGAGUCGCUGUCACUUUGAUGAAUUAAAUCCUCCGUUAAUUAGGACGCAUCCAUUUAAGGGUUGUCCAGCCAGAUAGUCCUUUUCCCUUCCCAGCAAGUCAUAGCUCAGGGAGGAGGCAUGAGAGGGAUCGUUUUCUGUUUCUGGCUUGAUUGCUGGUUUCUUUCUUACUAGGCUUCAUUAAUUAUCCUGGAAUGUGGUCACCCAGUUUUCUUCAACAUGGGCCAUUCUCCUUUUAGCAGGAUCUUGGCAGUGGACUGCCACGGGAGCUCUGGGGAAAAAGGACCAGUUGGACUCCAGUACCUCCUGAGAGACCACCACCCUCCAUGCCUCCAGCUCAUGCCCAGCUCUGAGUCAGACGGACUCUUCCUGUUGUACUGCGAGGUUCUGCAAACCUUGAAGGGCAAACACAGUGAGGGUCUCUGACUUGCUGUGUGGACAGCCCACUCUCUGACAGCCCAGAUCAUCUGAAGCUAUCCCUGGGCUGGGAGCUGGAAGCCAUUCUUGUGAACCACUCCUUAUACCUUGAGCGAAGCCUCUUUGGGUCCCAGAAGUCUGAAGCUCCAGCUGCCUGGCAAGACUGAGUCUAGAUGAUUUCUUGGGUACCAGUAGUUUGGCAUUUAAAAAUACUGGAUUAACUGCAGUGUAAACUUAGAUUGCAUUUCAGAUUGUAAACAAUAACCCCCGUGCUUCAUGUGAUGUUAAAUCAGAAAUGAGCUAUUAGCCAAGCUAGUCCUCUUAUGAAUGAGCCCCUAACCCUGAUCCAGGGAUCGUUGAAUGAAAAUCAUCAAAAUGAUUUAUCUUCACUUUACCUAUUGUCUCACAAGAAUCUCAUCACUCAGGGAAAAGGAGGGUGUUCUUCAGGGAACGGAGGGCAUGAGGAAGGGGGAUUUCCUUAUAUCUCAACUUUCAGAGGGAGCUGAGUUGUAAACAGAUGGAACAAGGUGUGUACGAGAAGCCUCUUAGAUUUAGUCUUUCAUAUCAAGGCUCUUGCUGAAAAUCCUGGCACAGCUGUGAAAUGAGGGGAGCUCUGACACACAGAGACACGCUCCUUGCCUCACCAACCUUCCCAUACACAGUCAUGCGCACAGAGAGCAGGUACCAAUACUGAAAAUGCCCUUCCGGAGUUUCCUCAGCUUAAACCCUUGACAGCAUUAAGUGAGGAAGGAGUUUCCUUGACCUGGGGAAGAAGAACCAACUCAUAAACAUGGAACUGUGCCCACUGCCUUUUCCUUUGCUCUGUGGAUUGGCUGUGGUUCUGCCCUGGCACUCGGAUGUCAAGUUGCUCUGGCUGUUUGGGAGGAAGCCCAGCCUGGGUCAGGUGGUCAUAAGCCAGAGGCCCUGUCCUGUCCCCAGGGUUGGCCUCCCUCUGGGGUCCAGCAUGGCCCCAGUGCUGAGGCUCCCACUGCUGGGGAAUGUGCCCUCUCCUCUCUUUGUUUCCAUACCAAGGGGAUCUGCAGGGUAGAGGGCAAAUUAUUCUUAGCAGAUUGGGGCUAUGGGUAAACCAGAAGGGAUGAGGGAGAGAGGAGAGAGGAGAGGAAAGGGAAGGAGAGGGGAGGGCAGGGGAUAGGUAGAGGAGAGAGACAGCAAGAAAAAAUAGAAAAAAAAAAAAAGGAAAUAAAGGUUGCAUAUACAAAGGGAGAUUAACAAGGAGUAGAAGAAGGGAGGCAGAAGAGGGAGAAACAGAGAAGAGGAACAAAGAAGACAUUUCCAAAAAAGACGUGAGCACACCAGGCAGGAGGGAGAAAAGGAACAAGGAGAAAGGAAGGAAGUGAGACAAGCUGGGGAGAGAAGAGGCAAAGGCAGCCAGGAGCAGGCAUAGGGGAGAGAGGAGUGGGAAGCCCCAGGGGGUACAAGGAAAAAAAUGAGGGAAGCCAGUGGGAGGAAGGUGAGGAAGAGGAGAGGGAACAGGCACUGGGUGGGGAAGAGGCGAGCAGGAGAAAGCCUGUGCUGUGUGGAUUAUUGUGUGUUUGUCAUCUGGAAUGGUAUAAGCUGUAGGUACAGCAGCUCCCGCCCAUGAUUUAUGGUCCCUGUCAGGCAGGGACCGCGCUUUGUCUGCUGUAGCGUGGACGAUGAAUGCUCCGCUGUCAUCCCAGCCUGGCCGGCCUUUCUCUCUCUCUGCUCCCAACGCUGGCUCCCCAUUUCACGCCAGUGAACAUAAGCAAUCUUUUGUAAACCUGACAGUCACACUUGCUUCUUUGGAAACAUAAAGCAGAAAUGUAUGACUCGGCUUUCAUUACCCAAUUUCCUACGCUAUAUAAAAACACUCAGGAAAGACAUGUAAGUGGUCACGAAACCUGGGAAAUUGGAAGUGUCCUGGAGGAAAAAAAAAGGAAGAGUGGGGAGAAGGGGGCUGUAGGGUGGGAGGGAGCCGGUGAGGAGAGGAGACGAUGUGUCUAACUCCACCACAUCCUUCCCAGAAAACGCCGGCUGAUAAACGGGCCAUGCAGACACAUAAUUAUAUUACAUAUCUGAAUAAUAGACAUUUCCUGCCUGAAGUGUUGCUUUUUUUCCUCCUUCUCCUUUUAAC